rnacentral:misc_RNA from 1 species
AAAACGUUGGCAAGGGUAUAAUCGGUACAUCAAAGAAACAAAUGAAUCAAACCGAGUUAAUCUACCAGCACUCUAGACUACCUAGUUAAUUUCUUGAGCCCGUUUUAGCCCAAGAACUCAGGCCUAGCGAAGCCAAGCCCAGACUGAGGUCGAACUGUUGAAGAAUCUUGUCUGCUUUGUAUUAGCUGGAAGUCGGUAUGCUGCAAAAUCCCAGUAGCAGCUUCAUUGCAUCAUUGAAGGAGCCACCGAUUUCUGUUUCUUUAGAGAAGGUAUUUUAAUCAUCAGUUUUACUUUCAGCUUUUGAUUGUUCUAUACAAUUAUUAUCUUCAAUAAUUUCCUCGUUUUCAUAAUUUCUGCUCAAGUUAAUGGUGUGUUUCUUCUUCAGAUUUACAAUCAAUCUCCAAAAUUUACGUUUCCUUGCUCAUUUUUCCAUUUCCUUUUGCAAAGGUAAUCAAACUCUGGUUCUGUUAAUUAUGUGUUUCUAUUUUUUUUCCUUUCCAAAUGAUGGAAACUGAAAUUUGUGUUCAAGUUGUAAUUCUUGAAAUUAGAAAAAUUAUAGAUGUUUCUGAAUAUGAAGAGUUUUUGGAAACAUAUGGCGUUUUGUUGUUGAAUUUUGGUUUUCACUAAUUGAUUGGUUGCUUUUAUUGCAUUAUAGAGGAGGUAAAUCAGAGUCUUGCUUAAUGAACAGAUAGCAAAAUAGUCCAUUUGAUAAUUGGUAUGAAUAAUGGUGUUCCCUGUGCAGGAAUACACACUAGUUCAUGAUAAAUAACUCUUACAAUUGGUUGCAUCAGCGAAUUUAACUAUAUAUGCUUUAUUCUGGUUUAAAUGGGGCAUAAAUCAUACAUCAUUGGCUUCUAUAGAGCCCAAAGUGUACACUAGAUAGGGUUUUAAGGAAACAGGUUCUUGGGUAUGAUCUAUUUUCUUUUGUAAAACAAGUAAUGGAAGGGAAUUUAUCACAAGGAAGUAUGAUUCCUGGGGGGACUCCAUUUGGAGGCCUUGACUUGCAAGGAUCCAUGAGAGUUCAUCAGCAAGCGCAGCACCAGCAUUCUAUACACCAUCAGCCUCAUCCUCUGCAUCGCCAAGGGUCUUCUGUACAUCCUUCAAUUCAUGAGGGUUUUCCCCUCACAGUGGGAACCAUGCACAAUUCUGAUCAAACCAUUUCCAUGACUAAUUACAACAAGGGAGAUAAGGGGAAAAAUCCGGCAAGUGACGAGGAUGAGCGGAGCUAUACAGAAGAUGGUGCUGAUGGUCACAAUGAAGCAAGUAGAGGGAAAAAGGGGUCAGCAUGGCAGCGUGUUAAGUGGACUG